rnacentral:rRNA from 1 species
UGGCGUGCCUUUUGUAGAAUGAACCGGCGAGUUACGAUUUGAUGCAAGGUUAAGCAGUAAAUGUGGAGCCGUAGCGAAAGCGAGUCUGAAUAGGGCGUUUAGUAUUUGGUCGUAGACCCGAAACCAGGUGAUCUACCCUUGGUCAGGUUGAAGUUCAGGUAACACUGAAUGGAGGACCGAACCGACUUACGUUGAAAAGUGAGCGGAUGAACUGAGGGUAGCGGAGAAAUUCCAAUCGAACCUGGAGAUAGCUGGUUCUCUCCGAAAUAGCUUUAGGGCUAGCCUCAAGUGAUGAUUAUUGGAGGUAGAGCACUGUUUGGACGAGGGGCCCCUCUCGGGUUACCGAAUUCAGACAAACUCCGAAUGCCAAUUAAUUUAACUUGGGAGUCAGAACAUGGGUGAUAAGGUCCGUGUUCGAAAGGGAAACAGCCCAGACCACCAGCUAAGGUCCCAAAAUAUAUGUUAAGUGGAAAAGGAUGUGGCGUUGCCCAGACAACUAGGAUGUUGGCUUAGAAGCAGCCAUCAUUUAAAGAGUGCGUAAUAGCUCACUAGUCGAGUGACACUGCGCCGAAAAUGUACCGGGGCUAAACAUAUUACCGAAGCUGUGGAUUGUCCUUUGGACAAUGGUAGGAGAGCGUUCUAAGGGCGUUGAAGCAUGAUCGUAAGGACAUGUGGAGCGCUUAGAAGUGAGAAUGCCGGUGUGAGUA